rnacentral:rRNA from 1 species
UACAGAGGUCUCAAGCGUUGUUCGGAUUCAUUGGGCGUAAAGGGUGCGUAGGCGGCGCGGUAAGUCGGGUGUGAAGUCUCGGAGCUUAACUCCGAAACUGCAUUCGAUACUGCCGUGCUUGAGGACUGGAGAGGAGACUGGAAUUUACGGUGUAGCGGUGAAAUGCGUAGAUAUCGUAAGGAAGACCAGUGGCGAAGGCGGGUCUCUGGACAGUUCCUGACACUGAGGCACGAAGGCCAGGGGAGCAAACGGG